UAUCCCUGGCCUGGGUAAGUUGCUCCUGGUGUGAUGGUGCUUAUCUCAUAUCAAUCAGGGACAAAGUAACUCGCAGUUUAGCCCAGCUCGGCUUUCAGUCUAUGCCUGUGCCUGGUUCAUGUCCUGGACACAACU